UACGUAGGCAGCGAGCGUUAAUCGGAAUUACUGGGCGUAAAGCGCGCGUAGGCGGCUUUGCAAGUCGAUUGUGAAAUCCCCAGGCUUAACCUGGGAACUGCAUUCGAGACUGCAUAGCUAGAGUAUGGGAGAGGGAAGUGGAAUUUCAGGUGUAGCGGUGAAAUGCGUAGAUAUCUGAAGGAACAUCAGUGGCGAAAGCGACUUCCUGGACCAAUACUGACGCUCAUGUGCGAAAGCGUGGGGAGCAAACAGG
rnacentral:rRNA from 1 species